rnacentral:lncRNA from 1 species
GUAAAACUUGCUUUUGACUUUACCUUUUUUUUUGCAAUUAAAUAUUGGUCACAUGAUGCUUGCUUUUCAGAAUGAUUAGGAUAAUAUUGUUCUUCACUGGAAUAACUUAUGGGGAUGCAGGAUAUUGUUCCAUGGCAAUGAUUUGUUAUCCUAGCACCCAACAAAUUAAAAUAUGUGACGAUACAAUAGAUGGCAGUGUUUAUAAUGAUAUUGACCAAGCAUACUUAGACAUUGUUAUUAUGAAAAAUACUCGUGUUACUAAAAAACCGGACCUGAUCGUAUUUGUCCAGAACAGCGCUGACGUACAGAAAGCCAUAUUUUUUGACGGAGAGUAUAAUCUUAAAGUAGUGGUACAGUCAUCUGGACAUGACUUUCAAGGUCGUUCAACAGCUGACGACAGUUGUAUGAUAUAUUUAG